rnacentral:lncRNA from 1 species
GUUGGUCGAUCGAUCAAGCCCGUAUAACUGCACUCCAGUUUAAUUAAUUAGGGUGGUCAAGUGGUCGUCGCCGGGCACAUGCUCGUGUCUGCUCGUACGUCCGUCCAUCCCUAAAAUGCUGCGAGUCCCGAUCGAAAUUUUUUUUCUCUGAAUUUUGUAUACUUGCUCAGCUGAAUGGUGUCAGAACUGGAAAACCAAAUAUUGACAGAGGUUGUUUCCUUCUGCGGAAUUGCUAACCUUCGGCUGUGUUUAGAUCCAAAGUUUGGAUCCAAACUUCAGUCCUUUUCCAUCACAUCAACCUGUCAUACAUACAACUUUUCAGUCACAUCAUCUCCAAUUUCAACCAAAUCUAAACUUUGGAUCUAACUAAACACAGCCUUCGUUUGAUAGAAAAUUGAAGCCUAAUUAAAUUAUGUAGAUUUCGAGUCGUAUCUACUUUGGUUAUGCUCCAACUCCGACGACAAAUGGUGGUGACCCUGACCCUGACCAGUUAAGGUUAAUUACGUUAGCUCGUAUCUCAUAUGUGGUCUGAUGGGCAUAUCUCAAAUACCAAAAUUACGAUGGGCACAUCCACCACUACUAGAAAGACUAUUUUCUAGACGAUGGCAAAAUAUUUUUCUAGGCGGGUAGAACUCUCGAAGCCAAAGGACCGGCUAAAAAAUGGCAAGGGGGAGGAGGAGGGGGAGGGCGAUGACAGUCCGUCUGCGAAGAUACAAUUUCGCACGCGGACCACGUAAGAUAGCGCCUGUGAAAAUACCAAAAUUAAUAUGUCCAAUUUGCAUGAUCGACAGCCCCUUGCCUCCUAUAUUCAUCGAUCCACAGCAAAUGUAGUUUAAUUCCAAGCUACCGAUCGAACCAUCUUAAAUUCUGUCAAUCUGUUUUGAAUAUUAUUCUUUUAUUCACAUUGGAUAUAUAUGAUCCUGUCAUGUCUCGCCUACGUGCUCAUCACGGCUAUUUAAUGGCAUCAAUCCGUUUCUCACAUCUCUUAAGCGAAUUUAUAUACGAUCGGUAUACGUGAUCACAACAUGCAUGAACGUGAUCACAGGAAAAGAUAACUUUAAAAACCACGAUUUGCCGAGAUAAAACCUAAGAAUGAGACACGAAGCUUAAUUCAAAUUAGCUGGUUGAUUACGAUUUUUACCGGUGAACACAAUCCACGCUUGAACUUUAUGAAUUGCAUAAAUUAAUGCAUAUGAAUGUAUUUUGGGGGAAACACAUACAACUUGGUAGAGAACCAAUUACAAACCUUGGUGUCCAUGCUUAGGGGUUUAUUGAAGUCCUAGUGGUGGUCUCGUCACAUAUUCGUGAAGUUAUCCUUGCAUUUUUCCUAUUAUGCAAACCACAUGCAUAUAUAUACAUCAUGUAGAUAGAGACCAAAGAUAAAUGUGUGAAUAUAAUAAAAUUUUUAUCAGAAGCUACUAAGCUAGUGUAUCCAUGUGUAGUACUACCUUCAUUCCAAGAGAAAAGUUUUGCAGUCCUUGAGAAAAUAUCUCAAGGCACAUUAAAGUUUGUUGUAAUUUGAGAUACUUACUAUCUGGAGGUACAUUCCAAAAUAUAUGAUAAUGAUUAGUUUAUUUUUAACCAACUAAUCUCAUUCCAAAAACAAAUAGAGGGACUAUAUAAUUUUCUCUGAUCCCCUGUAAAUUUUGAACUGUACUCAUGGUCUAUUGCGCACGUCUCCAAAUAGUAAUGCCAACAACAUGUGUGUUAUCUAAACAAUUUUUUUUGUUCCAUUCAAUCCAUUGGGCAUUUUUUCUGAGCGAUACAUAAACGAUAAGCAUAUUUGGCUGCAUAUAUAUGAGUGUUGCAUUUGUCAACAGGAGGAGAAAGGUCUUUGAACUUCUCGAGUGUUUUUUCCACUUGUGUAGCGGCCUAACUUUGACCCCCCAUUUUCGUCAUCGAAAGGUACCCCUUUUGCAUGCAUGCAAAUGCAACCUCAGCCACACUAUAAAUAGCAACACAUUUGUUACUUCUCAGCUCGUGCCAGCCACACAUCAAGUAAGCUAAGCUACUGAGCUAACUCAGCUUAGCUAAGCUUAGCUAGAGCUCAAGUGAUUAAGCAAGAACACUUAGUUACUCAUAGAUAAUUAAUUAAUUAAGAUUUGUGAGAUUACCAUGGCUUCGAGGAGUAGCUGGCAUUGCUGCUUGCUGGCCUUCUUCCUCCUCUCGUCCGCCGCCGGCGCCGCCUACGGGCAGCAG